rnacentral:lncRNA from 1 species
GAUAAGAAUACCUGGAGAAUUACUGAAAGAUAACAGAAGUGUACUUAUUAAAGUGUCGGAUAUUAAAAAAAGAAAAUAAAAAUCUCUUAUCAGAGAGAUUUUUCUCAAAAUGGAGAAUAAAAUCAAUAUACCUUGAUGCCAACAAAAGCUGAGACAAUUUGCGGCCAGGACAACUGUGCUACAGAAUUUCUAAUGGCUGUGCUUCUGACUGAAGGAGAAGGUUUCCAGUUGGAAAUGCAAAUCUACAGAAGGGAUGAUGAGCACCAUGAAUGGCGGAUAGAUGACUGGCUACAAAAGAUGAAUCUGAUAUGGGAUAAACAUCAAAUUUAUUCAUCAUGUUUUCUUAUAAAGCUUAUAAGAAAUAUAUAGACCUGUUUUUAAAUCUCUUCCUAUUACUGACUGGCAGUCUUCCUUCCUGAAUUCCAAACAUGGCCAUAUUUUGUUCAGUGGAACUGCACAUAUGUAAGAAGAGAUUCGUAUUUCAUAUAAUAAUUUCCCCAACACAGAUUCAGAUGAAACUUCUCUAUGUCAUCUGCUACUGAGGCUAAAUAUGCCAAUUUCCCUAAACCCUUCAUCUUCCUUCAACUUCAUGUGGCAAUGCUGUGUGUGGCCAUUCUGGUUAGUCUUCUG